CCAAACCUCAAAAAAAUCUCGGCGACGGCGAUUCUCUUCGUCUGUCUUCCGGCGUCUCCCGUUCGUCAGAGUCGCUGAGAUCCUCCUGCACUUGUCGUUCAGGUUCGUUUCGAUUCUCUUUUGCCAAUCCAACUCAGAACUGUGUGUUUUGUUUCAUUGAUGUUAAGUCUUGUGAUUGCAUUCUCUGGAUGGUUACUUGUAUACACAUGUGAUGCGUAUGUGUGUUUGGUGGAGAAUAAGUGAGAAACACAUUACUAAUAUUUGUCUUUCAUCUCUAAUACUUGCUUUCAUGCUAGGUGCUGUAUUGGGAGAUGAAGAACCGGUUGAGAGAUAGAUUCUUGCAUGAUCAAUUUUUUUAUUUCUAUGUUGUUUACCUUAAUCAGGUAUAUAUAGAGGGUGACAUGACAACCUUAAAGCCAGCUUGUGAACUUGUAAGCCAUAUCUAUAACAAGCAUGUGUAACAUUUGAAUAAUAGAAGCAACAGGUAACACAGUAACAAACAAAGGCGAGAAGAAGAGGAAAAAAAAGAUGUAGAGCAAAUCAAUCCCUUUUACUAAUCUAUCACAGUCAUGGCAGCGUCACCGUUUUGGGUCUUGUAAGCAGUCAACAGGUGAAAGAGACCAGAGAGGUGUGUCUUGUUAACAAAAAAGCAUUUGUGAAGUUUGUAUUGUUUAUGUCUUGAAUCCCAAAUGACCCAUUUUGUGGACCUUCUUCGUGGGUCGCACGUGGAUGUCCCAAUUACAUCUUCACUGUUUCAGUGUUUUGGACCCAUCUCCUGACUCAUGGCUCCAUGUUAUUAUUUUAUUUUUCCUAAAUGUCAUUAUGAUUCAGGACCCAAGAUAAAUUUUU
rnacentral:lncRNA from 1 species